rnacentral:rRNA from 1 species
AGCAUGGCCCUUACGGCCUGGGCGACACACGUGCUACAAUGCCCACUACAAAGCGAGGCCACCCGGCAACGGGGAGCUAAUCGCAAAAAGGUGGGCCCAGUUCGGAUUGGGGUCUGCAACCCGACCCCAUGAAGCCGGAAUCGCUAGUAAUCGCGGAUCAGCCAUGCCGCGGUGAAUACGUUCCCGGGCCUU